ensembl:lncRNA
GUAUUGUUCUUUUGUAUCAAUAUUUCUUAGAAUUAUCAGUAUGAUACUUUGAAUGUAAAAGAGGAAGAAGUCCAAAAUCGAGACAUUGACUAGACUAUUUUUAAAGGUCAGGUGUUAUUAGUGAUAGCCAGAUGACGACUUAUGUCUAGAACAACAGUAUAUAAGAUAGACUCUGCAAAAUAGAGUGGGGUUUUGACUUUCUGAGACUCUGGUCUCUCUAUCUUUUCAGCUCACUUCCUCUUCUUUGGCUUCACUCGACAACUCUUAGACUCAGACUUAGAACUCUUACAGUUAAUGGAGGCACCGCUGGGAUACUGAUCGAUCCUUGAAGUAUAUUUGAUGCAUCGCAAGGAAAGAUAAAGAGAGGAUUGAACCUUUGAAUGUUUCAGAUCCUAUACAUCCUCCAGUAUUCCAGUAUCCUCUUUAGAGAGAAGCAGAGUGAGCUGCACAGGAAAUUGUGAACCAGCUUCAGGAAUCAGGGAUUUUGGUAAGGUGUACUUCCUCAAUGAACUUACCUAUGCAGCUUGAAAAAAAUAAAAUAAAAUAAAAUUGCCAGAUGGUAGCUAUAGGUUAACUAUAGACUACACCGCAUUGAAUGCUGUGACUCCUAGAAUAACUGCUAUUGUGCUAAUCCGUCAACCAUUCUUAAUGACAUUUCUCCAAACCAUCACUAUUUUAGUGCAGUAGACAUAACCAAUGGUUUUUGGUCUUGUCCUAUCAGAGAAGAAGAUCAAUACAGAUUUGCCUUUCAAUAUUGUGACGACAUUCUUCUCACAUCUCAAGAUAAAGCACAACACUUGAGUGUACUCACUCAGUUGUUGAAAGCUCUCCAAGAGGCGGGUUUCCUCUUGAACAAACAAAAGGUCCAAUUGUUUCAAUCGGAAGUUACAUUUUUAGGUCAAAGUAUAGGUCAUGAGGGAAAGAGACCUCUUCCAGACCGGGUCAUGGCCAUUACUCAUUUAAAUAAGCCAACCAAAGUUACUGGUUUAAGAUCAUUAAUGGGGCUAUUUAAUUUUAAUCGGAUGUAUAUCCCAGAUUUUUCUGAUUUGGCUAAACCUCUAACAGAGGCUCUUAAAGGAGGCCUUCCGGGUGCUUCCCCUUUGGAGUGAACAUCAGACAUGGCUGAGUCCUUUACUCUCCCCAAAUCCGCAUUACUCUCCUCUCCCGCAUUAUAUCACCCCGACAUGACAAAGACAUUCCAUGUAUGGACACAUGCUGGCCCAAGUGCUUAUAACUGUGUGCUGGGACAAUGUAAAGGUGACAAAAGUUAUGGUAUUGUUGGGUAUUAUUCAACUUUGAUUCCCUCUUCCAUGAAUGGACAGAUGAAUGGACAGAUGCCGUGUUUGAUGGCCUUGGACUGUGCUGAGUGGGCGUUGAAGGUCACUGAGGCCAUCGUCUGUUACAAUCAGAUGAUCCUUCACUCUCCACAUCGUUUUCUACGCAUGCUCGCAGAGACAAAAAUAAAGUUGAUUUCAAAUCAACGACAUGCAAAAUGGGAAACUGCUCUCAUGAACCCUCAGCUCACUGUUGUUGCAGACAACUGGACAAAUCCUGCCUCCCUAAUGGAGAAUGAGGGGAGUGCACAUGACUGCGCCGAGGUAAUUAUCUGUGACAGGGGACAUUUUGUCAGAGAUGAACCGUUUUCAGAUUCUCUGGACAUGUUCGUGGAUGGCAGCAGUUUCUACGAGGGGGACACACGCUACACGGGGUGGGCGGUAGUAGAGGGGAAGACGGGCGAGGUCUUGGCUGAGGGGUCGCUUCGGGAGGAAGUGCUCAGAUAGCUGAAUUGCAUGCUUUGAAUGCUGCCUUAAAUCUGGCUCUUAAACUAACUGCAGGUGAAAAUAGCUCCACUAAUGUAAAUAUUUUUACUGAUAGUGCAUACAGCUACCAUGUAGUGCAGAGUUAUGGCCCUGUUUGGAAACGUCGUGGGUAUUUGACCACAGCGGGUACGCCAAUAAGUCAUCAAACCGUAAUUGAAAAAAUUCUUGACACGUGUGAGAAAAUUCCACCAAACAGUGUCGCGGUAUGUAAAGUCACAGGUCACAGUACAUUCAAUGAUUGGUUGGCGAAAGGAAACUCUCUAGCUGAUAAGGCUGCGAGAGAAGCUGCAAAGGGUGUGGCACUUGAGGAAGUAGCUGUUAUUUUCCCUGUUCAUCCUGACUGCACGGGUUCCGAAACUUUAUCUAAAUUGUACACAACUGAGGAUCGUGAAAUGUGUCAGAAAUUAGGAGCUACCUUAACUGAAGAAGGGGUUUAUGCCCUGAAUGACAAAGUCAUUCCGCCUAGCGGAUAUCAAACUGAACUAAUUGAUUUGUACCACAGCAUUGCACACCAAGGGGUUCAGAAAACAUAUGCUAUGUUACAACAAACAUGGUUUUAGCCAGAGAUGUUACAAACUGUGAAGGAUAAGACUUUCCAGAUGUAUCCACUGUUUGCAAAUAAAGCUAUAAUUUGGAAAAGUUAAAAUCCCAAUUAGUCACAGUCCUCGCCCGCGAGGACCAUUCACACAUUUACGAUUGGAUUUUAUUUCGUUACCUUCUGAUCAUGGGUACAAAUAUGUAUUAGUCCUCGUUUGUGAAUUUUCCAGAUGAUCUGAAAGGGUAUAUUGGAUUUUCAGUCCCUCUCAUUGCACCAUGGUUCGGGAAUGAUAGAUUUUCAUAAAAUAGGGGUAUCUUUACUGGGAUUGUUAUAAGCAAUGUCUGUAUUUGGUAUCUGUGAGGUGACUGAGGGUCUGACCUAUGUCAGGAAUGCAAUAACAGUGAUUAUUCAUUUAGCCCGGCUUCCAGAGAAUAAUACAUAUAUACGUUUAUUGCAAAGAUUUUUUUUUCUUUUCGAUAUAACAAAUUAACCAAAAUUCAUCAUGGUUGUAUAAGACAUAUAAAAAGAAAAAAACAACUAAGUCAAAUUUCUUUCUAAAAGGUCUUUGGGUUUUAACUGUACCUUCCCCUAAAGCUCUGUUGUUGCGCUCAGGUCCUUCGGGUCCACUGAAAGACACUUUACAGGAGUAUCUUAAAGUACUCACGUGCGCAUUGAAGAAUGCCCAUUUCAGUGCCCUCAGUGCUCAACAUGCUGGAGAUCUUAAAAACGCUAUAUUCAAUGUAAAGGUUAAAAAUCACGUACAAGUGGGGGACGAAGUGAUGAUACAGAAAAUAGGGAACUUAGGACCAAUGUCCUUCAGGUAUGAGGGUCCUUAUUCGGUGUUGUUGACUACUCCAACAUCUCUUCUUGUUGAAAUCGAGCCAGGGCUGACUCGAUGGAUGCAUCUUGCACAAGUGAAGCCUCUGUCGCCGCUUGCUGAUACUAACUCUCUUUCUAAUGUGAUUUAGUCCAACAGGUGCAGUAUUUUAUAUCCAAGGAAUGGCUGCUAAGGAAGAACAAUGACUAAUUGUUUCCUCUCUUUAGGUUCUCAACUAUGAUUCCAUCCGGACCUGUUGUGUUAAUAAUAAUAAAAAAAAAAAAAUAAAAAAAAAGAGAGACUGAAAACCAUGGUGUUUAUGUUUGUGUGUAUUGGUGUUGUCCUGUUUGGUUGUCUAUGUGUCGUUGUGUAUUUGUUGUGUUUUUAUCCAAAUAUUUCUGCUCCUACUAUUCUAUAUCUCUAAUAGGUACGAGUGCAUGCUGUCCCAGAAAUAUUCUGCGUAUAUUUACCACACACGACUGGUUCUAAGGGUGACUCUUCGAUGUGACUUCUGCAACAGUGCAGCUCAUUGACAUUCUGGGAGUGGUUGCUGUGCUCGUGGCUAGACAUCAGUGUUUCAUCGCAUCAUCACAUCACUCGUUAACUCUACGUCAUCUGAGAGACCUGUGCUAAAGUCUACCAGCUGAUAUAUAUAGAUUUACAUAUAGAUCAAAAGAUAUUUUUAUUCUCCCAUUUAUACCAGUAGUCGUGAG